GGGGAUUUGGCUCAGUGGUAGAGCGCUUGCCUAGGAAGCACAAGGUCCUGGGUUCGAUUCCCAGCCCCG
rnacentral:tRNA from 2 species